rnacentral:lncRNA from 1 species
AUGAAUUGAAAACACAGCCAAAUGAGUUUUUUUUCAAAGAAAUCAAAUGAGACCCACUCUCAUAUAUUUUGAGUUUAUAAUGAAUCGAAAGCCCUAAUUAAGUCUUUGUAAAAAUCUACAUCGCUUCUUUUGUCUUUCCCUGAUCAGAAGUUUCACCAUCUUGCAGUUUCAGGCUCACAAUUUUAUUACUUACAUUCCUGAUUCUAACAGAAUUGUGAAAGUAUUUGGUAUUCGAGUCCCCAAGAUGUAUCCAGUUCACCCUUGAUUUUUGCUUGUAGAACUCCUCUUCUUAUCUCAGAAGUCUCCUGUAUUGAUUCACAAAAGCCCUCUUCUCAUCCAGUAGGAUUUGGUUGAAAGGAUCGCUCUGUAAACCACUCUGGACUUCCUCCAACAUCUGUCUGUAUUUGUUUACCUAGUGAGAAAUAUCAGCAAAAUCUCUCUUGUUUAACUUCUUCAGCUCUUUCUUUAUACUCAUUAGCUUUUUCCACAAUUUAAGCAUGGCAGUUCCAUUUACUUUCAUUUGCUAGGAUUUUUAUAGUAUCACCUUAAAGUCAGGGUAUGAAACCUACAUCUUGAAGAAUCUAAAAGGCACGUUCCUCCUCUCUAAUUCCUUCCUAAUAGCCACAAUCAAUGGAGAAUGAUCUGAUAAACCAGGAGGAAGGGCGUCAUACUCUGAUAAGGCAUACUUCUCUAACCAGGCCAAGUUCACCAAGCAUCUGUCCAAUUUCUUCCAUAUUUUGCUCCCCAGCUCUUGAUUGUUUGCCCAUGUGUAGAAACACCCCUUGGACCUCAACUCUUCAAGCUAGCUGCAGAUACACAUUCAGUAAAAUCCUGGCUAGCUUG